ACCCUAGAGUUAUGACAGUAUAGGUUCAGAAUGCACAGGGACGUGCAUUAGGUAAAGAGGGGAGGAUGUAACCCUGUUAAAAAUAUGACAUAAAUAUAUAAAUAAGUUAAAAAGUUAAGUGAUUCAUUUAAUUAAGUUUAUUCAUGAGGAUUAAAAAUGUUAAAAAUGUUAAAACAGCAAUUUAAUGUUCAAAUAUUAAAAGUAUGCUGACAGAAAAUUCAGUUCACCACCCCUUUAACAGGCUAGUGACGUCAGAGCAUCACGUUAGCGACGCUGCAGCAGAAACCUGCGGGAGAGAGCAGAAGAGAGAUCGGAGAGAACGAACUCUGUUUAAUAAGCUAAGAAAAGAGUGUAAAAGUUGAUUUUGCAGUUAAAAAAACAUAACUUACCUGAUCAGGGAUUGACAGGGAUUUUAUGGGAACUAAGCCACAACGGUUUUGGUCAGGUUUUUUUAUGUGCUUGAUUUGAGGCUCUGUCGGAGCGAGGAUUGAUCUGCAGUGUGCGGGUGUGCACACGUGCAGACGUGAUUCAAGAUGGCGAGCCAGACCCGGAUUUGCAAAUAAUCUUCUUCAUCACAUCAGUGAGGAAAUCUUUUGAGUACAGUGACUCGCUGCCAGAGCGGUAGGAGUAUAUGAAAUUGUUUUUUGGAUCGAAUUGAACUCUGAUUGAACUCUUUUUGCGGACUGAAUCGAACUGAAACUCUUCAUUGAACCGAACAAUUGAACUCCCAUUUGAAUUCGGACUGAAUUAAAGGGACACUUCUAUUUUCACAUUGAGUUGAUAUGUUAAAAUGUUACUUGAAAUGUGACUUGAAAUGUGAUUUGAAAUGUGAUUUAUAAUGUUUAUGGUUCAUUUUGAUUUGAUUGUUUGAAUUGAAGGUAUUUUCUUACCUGUAAAAGAAAAGAAAAAAGGGUUUAUUUGAGAAGGAAAAAUAAGGAUUCAAAAAUAGAUUCAACUUAGGAAAAGACCGGUCUAAAUUAGAUUAGUCUAAUUUAAAGUACCUAGGUGAACUAAAUAACAAAAAGAAAGUGAAAUACAAUUUAUUAUUUUAUUUCUUUAAUCUUUUAUACUUACCUCUACUUACCUUAAUAUUGAGAACCUGCAGGGUAUAUUUUCUUGUUUUACACUUUCAUAGUUCUGUAUAUAUUCAUGUGUUUUACAUUCAGUAAAUAGCCGGCCUUUUGUAUAUAAA